GCUCGCUUCACGGCUUCCCUACGGCACCGACAACGGUCGCACCGUGGCCGACACCUAGCGAGUAUCGUUUACGGCUAGGACUACCCGGGUAUCUAAUCCGGUUCGUGCCCCUAGCUUUCGUCCCUUGCCGUCAGGUCCGUUCUGGUGAGACGCCUUCGCCACUGGUGGUCCUUCAAGGAUUACAAGAUUUCACCCCUACCCCUGAAGUACCUCUCACCUCUCCCGGCCUCGAGCCAGACAGUAUCUCCUGAAAGCCUGACAGUUAAGCUGCCAGAUUUCUCAAGAGACUUAUCCGGCCGGCUACAGACCCUUUAGACCCAAUAAUAACGGUUACCACUCGAGCCGCCGGUGUUACCGCGGCGGCUGGCACCGGUCUUGCCCGGCCCUUGCUAUGAAAUGCUUUUUAGGCAUCUCGACAGCCAGAUUUGUAACCUGGCACUCGAGGUUCCCUUAUCGCUGUUGCCAGCAUUGUAAAGUUUUCGCGCCUGCUGCACCCCGUAGGGCCUGGAUUCGUGUCUCAGAAUCCAUCUCCGGGCUCUUGCUCUCACAACCCGUACCCGUCGUAGGCUAGUAGGUACGCUACACCCACUACUACCUGAUAGGCCGCAGACCCAUCCUUAGGCGCCGGAGCUUUAAAUCUCGAUGCAUUCCAGCAAUCGAGACCUAUCGGGUAUUAUACCCAGUUUCCCGGGUUUAUACCCAACCUAAGGGCAGGUUGUCCACGUGUUACUGAGCAGUUCGCCAUGUACUGCUACAUUCGACUCGCAUGGCUUAGUCGAACCUCGAU
rnacentral:rRNA from 1 species